rnacentral:rRNA from 1 species
GACAGAGGUGCCAAGCGUUAGGCGGAAUCACUGGGCUUAAAGCGUGUGUAGGCGGGCGAUCAAGUACCUUGUGAAAUCCCGAGGCUUAACCUCGGAACUGCGUCUGAAACUACUCGACUAGAGUACUGGAGAGGGUAACGGAAUUCACGGUGUAGCAGUGAAAUGCGUAGAUAUCGUGAGGAACACCAGAGGCGAAGGCGGUUACCUGGACAGUUACUGACGCUCAGGCACGAAAGCAUGGGGAGCAAAAGGG